rnacentral:rRNA from 1 species
AAUAGACUACCCUGGUAGUCCAUGCCGUAAACGUUGGGCACUAGGUGUGGGGCUCAUUCCACGAGUUCCGUGCCGCAGCAAACGCAUUAAGUGCCCCGCCUGGGGAGUACGGCCGCAAGGCUAAAACUCAAAGGAAUUGACGGGGGCCCGCACAAGCGGCGGAGCAUGCGGAUUAAUUCGAUGCAACGCGAAGAACCUUACCAAGGCUUGACAUGCACGGGGAAGCCACCAGAGAUGGUGGUCUCUUUGGACACUCGUGCACAGGUGGUGCAUGGUUGUCGUCAGCUCGUGUCGUGAGAUGUUGGGUUAAGUCCCGCAACGAGCGCAACCCUCGUCCCAUGUUGCCAGCGGGUUAUGCCGGGGACUCAUGGGAGACUGCCGGGGUCAACUCGGAGGAAGGUGGGGAUGACGUCAAAUCAUCAUGCCCCUUAUGUCUUGGGCUUCACGCAUGCUACGAAUGGCCGGUACAAAGGGCUGCGAUACCGUAAGGUGGAGCGAAUCCCAAAAGCCGGUCUCAGUUCGGAGUUGGGUCG